UGGGGAAUAUUGCACAAUGGAGGGAACUCUGAUGCAGCGACGCCGCGUGAGUGAUGAAGGAAUUCGUUUCGUAAAACUCUGUCCUAUGGGAAGAAAAGGACUGUACCAUAGGAGAAAGCUCCGGCUAAAUACGUGCCAGCAGCCGCGGUAAUACGUAUGGAGCGAGCGUUGUCCGGAAUUAUUGGGCGUAAAGGGUGCGCAGGCGGCUUUACAAGUUGGAUGUGAAAUAUUGUGGCUCAACCACAAACGUGCAUCCAAAACUGCAAAGCUUGAGUUAAGGAGAGGUAAGUGGAAUUCCUGGUGUAGCGGUGGAAUGCGUAGAUAUCAGGAGGAAUACCGGUGGCGAAGGCGACUUACUGGACUUAAACUGACGCUCAGGCACGAGAGCGUGGGGAGCAAACAGG
rnacentral:rRNA from 1 species